rnacentral:misc_RNA from 1 species
GAUGAAGAACGUAGCGAAAUGCGAUACUUGGUGUGAAUUGCAGAAUCCCGUGAACCAUCGAGUCUUUGAACGCAAGUUGCGCCCGAAGCCAUUAGGCCGAGGGCACGCCUGCCUGGGCGUCACACGUCGUUGCCCCCCCAUCUAAUCCUUCGGGAUUGCGGGGGGCGGAUGAUGGCCUCCCGUGCGCCUCGUCGCGCGGUUGGCAUAAAUGCCAAGUCCUCGGCGACGCACGCCACGACAAUCGGUGGUUGCGAAACCUCGGUUGCCCGUUGUGUGCGGUCGUCGCGCAUCGAGGGCUCGAAAAAAUUGCCGGGCUCCGGCUCGACUUUCAACGCAACCCCAGGUCAGGCGGGGUUACCCGCUGAAUUUAAGCAUAUCAAUAAGCGGAGGA